rnacentral:lncRNA from 1 species
ACCAAAACUACUCUCUUCCUUUUUUCUUUCUUUCUUUCAACAAAACAGAAACAUGAGUUUUGCUACCACAGUACUGUAGGUAGAGAAACAGAAACCACCUUGUUUCGGAAUUCUGUUGCAAAAUUAAGAAGAAAGAAACAUACUCCAUUAAUGGGUGGUGUUAGAUGGGGUCAAGAGUCAUCUUCAUCCAUGAAACUCUUGCUGUUCAUGGUGCCUCUCGUACUUGUUGCUGGGCUUGUUUUUAUAUUGGGUCCUAACCCUUCUAGUUGGGUUUCUUUUGCCAACGCACCUGUGUUAUUGGGAGGCUCUGUUAUUACUUCCUCUUCCUCAACUAGUAGUGGUGCUGUGACUGUCACCGACCCUUCUGAGGCGAAGCAGAGAGAAGGGUUAGUGGUGGUGGCCGUGGAGAAUCGCGGUGGAGAGAAAGCUAUCUCCGAUGACACUGACUUCAAUCACUCCUCUACACCUCCAUUUUCCGUUCAGGCCAUACAAACACCUCAACAACCUGUAAGACUUUUUUAUUCUAUCACUAUUAUUGCUAUUAUUCAAUCCUUAAGUUUAUGAUUUUUUUUUAAUUUCAUAGUAAAAAACAUUAAAGGGGUGGAAGACAAAACUUGGAUACAGCGGUGCUUUUCUCCUGUAGAAUCCAAGGUUUACUUCGGUAAUCAAAGUAAUAAAGAGGUGCAUUAAUUAGUAAAGGAUUGUGUAGAUUACCAAAGUAAAACUCUUACUCUGAUUGGAUAAAGACACCUACAGCACCUACCUAAGAAUAAUACUAGCAAGUAGUACUAUUGAAGUUUCUGUGAUGAAAUUUUCGCAAAAUGUCAGAUGAUUCUUGUAUUCAAGAAGGAAAGAAUGUACAGAUAGAAAGAAAAGAAUGUAACUAAAAGCCAUUGAGAAUGACCAGAGACUUUAACCUUUCUUUGCAGAAAAGAUCGACAAAUUUAAU